UUCAUUUCUUCUUUAAAUACGAUCAGAUGGUCGAGAUCAAACGCGAUAAAUAAUGCAAAUUUGUCUCCUCCUUAUACGCGAUCGAAUAGUCGAGAUCAAACAUAAUAAACGACCCAGAUUAACGCGAUAUGGGUAUAAAUAUUUCAUAUCACACUGAAUCCAAACCUUAGCCACCAGGCUCUCGUUGGAGAAGAAGAACCAGUCGUUGGAGAAGGGAGCCGACCGCUAACUGG
rnacentral:lncRNA from 1 species